rnacentral:rRNA from 1 species
CUGGGCGGGAGCUACACAUGCAGUCGAGCGGUAACAGAAAGUAGCUUGCUACUUUGCUGACGAGCGGCGGACGGGUGAGUAAUGCUUGGGAACAUGCCUUGAGGUGGGGGACAACAGUUGGAAACGACUGCUAAUACCGCAUAAUGUCUACGGACCAAAGGGGGCUUCGGCUCUCGCCUUUAGAUUGGCCCAAGUGGGAUUAGCUAGUUGGUGAGGUAAUGGCUCACCAAGGCGACGAUCCCUAGCUGGUUUGAGAGGAUGAUCAGCCACACUGGGACUGAGACACGGCCCAGACUCCUACGGGAGGCAGCAGUGGGGAAUAUUGCACAAUGGGCGCAAGCCUGAUGCAGCCAUGCCGCGUGUGUGAAGAAGGCCUUCGGGUUGUAAAGCACUUUCAGUCAGGAGGAAAGGUUAGUAGUUAAUACCUGCUAGCUGUGACGUUACUGACAGAAGAAGCACCGGCUAACUCCGUGCCAGCAGCCGCGGUAAUACGGAGGGUGCGAGCGUUAAUCGGAAUUACUGGGCGUAAAGCGUACGCAGGCGGUUUGUUAAGCGAGAUGUGAAAGCCCCGGGCUCAACCUGGGAACUGCAUUUCGAACUGGCAAACUAGAGUGUGAUAGAGGGUGGUAGAAUUUCAGGUGUAGCGGUGAAAUGCGUAGAGAUCUGAAGGAAUACCGAUGGCGAAGGCAGCCACCUGGGUCAACACUGACGCUCAUGUACGAAAGCGUGGGGAGCAAACGGGAUUAGAUACCCCGGUAGUCCACGCCGUAAACGAUGUCUACUAGAAGCUCGGAGCCUCGGUUCUGUUUUUCAAAGCUAACGCAUUAAGUAGACCGCCUGGGGAGUACGGCCGCAAGGUUAAAACUCAAAUGAAUUGACGGGGGCCCGCACAAGCGGUGGAGCAUGUGGUUUAAUUCGAUGCAACGCGAAGAACCUUACCUACACUUGACAUACAGAGAACUUACCAGAGAUGGGUUUGGUGCCUUCGGGAACUCUGAUACAGGUGCUGCAUGGCUGUCGUCAGCUCGUGUUGUGAGAUGUUGGGUUAAGUCCCGCAACGAGCGCAAC